CAGAUUUUAGCUUAUAUAAAGCUUUUUAGUUACAUUAAUAGGAAAAUUGCGUUGAUUUUGUCUGA
rnacentral:tRNA from 1 species